UACGUAGGGCGCAAGCGUUUAUCCGGAAUUAUUGGGCGUAAAGAGCUCGUAGGCGGCUUGUCACGUCGGGUGUGAAAGCCCGGGGCUUAACCCCGGGUCUGCAUUCGAUACGGGCUAGCUAGAGUGUGGUAGGGGAGAUCGGAAUUCCUGGUGUAGCGGUGAAAUGCGCAGAUAUCAGGAGGAACACCGGUGGCGAAGGCGGAUCUCUGGGCCAUUACUGACGCUGAGGAGCGAAGGCGUGGGGAGCGAACAGG
rnacentral:rRNA from 1 species